rnacentral:lncRNA from 1 species
CGAUCGGCAUUCGGGGUGAAUAAUGUUUGUCGAGGCCUUGCGGCGGUUGUCACGAGCCCGAUGGGGAGUUCCAGGUCGUGACAAAUGUUAUAGUGAAUGAUGAUGUGGCAUGUUAAUAAGCCAUGAUAAUAUAAUCACAUGGUAUUUUUUACAUUCCAUAUCAACAUUACGCGAUAUUAAGAAAACAAGUGAUAUUUUGAUUAAUGAUAGUUAAUCAACUGUUAAUCGUAAAAAUAAAAUAUAAAAAUUUAAUUGAAUGUAAUAGAAAAAUAAAAAUUUAUAUAAAUUAUUUUAAUAUUUCAAAAACCGUUGAAAGUAUCAUGUUAUUAUCUUACAAUUGGACGUAUUCCCACAAUAGAAGUUGCAUUGCAAGUCCUUGCACGCUCUAG